AACGAACGCUGGCGGCAGGCUUAACACAUGCAAGUCGAGCGCCCCGCAAGGGGAGCGGCAGACGGGUGAGUAACGCGUGGGUAUCUACCCAUCUCUACGGAAUAACGCAUGGAAACGUGUGCUAAUACCGUAUACGUCCUUCGGGAGAAAGAUUUAUCGGAGAUGGAUGAGCCCGCGUUGGAUUAGCUAGUUGGUGGGGUAAAGGCCUACCAAGGCGACGAUCCAUAGCUGGUCUGAGAGGAUGAUCAGCCACACUGGGACUGAGACACGGCCCAGACUCCGACGGGAGGCAGCAGUGGGGAAUAUUGGACAAGGGGCGCAAGCCUGAUCCAGCCAUGCCGCGUGAGUGAUGAAGGCCCUAGGGUUGUAAAGCUCUUUCACCGGUGAAGAUAAUGACGGUAACCGGAGAAGAAGCCCCGGCUAACUUCGUGCCAGCCGCCGCGGUAAAAC
rnacentral:rRNA from 1 species